UCAAAGGAAAGGUCAGGCAGCACAGGGUGGUGAUAAUACAAUCUAGGAGGUUGACGAGCAGACGGAGAGUCUGUACUAGGUAAACGAGUCUCCAAAUGCCCAUCGUUUGAGUCUGCGUCCCGAAAAGCUGUCCCGUCUGGUUUACGGCAAACGAUCUGAAAAGUGAAGAGCAGGACAGCACUGUCGGUCGUUCACAAGACGAGCUUCAGGGAAAAAUGUGUGCAGCAAAUACCUGAUAAGACAAAAGUUGGGCAAAACUGGUUAUGCAAGAGUCCUGUUGGGAGCGAGAGUGUAUGCUGUCCGGUUUUAUUAGCAGAUAUUCAAGAUGGCGUGGACCCUCCAGGUCUUGGCAAACAUGGCGCCGAAUGCUGUCGUGUAGCCGACGAUGAGGAUCCACGUCCGGACCUUUGCAAAAGGCGAGACGAGAGACACGUGAAUGAAGGCCAUGAGAAAAAUAACGCUGAGGAAUAUCAAACUUUGACACCCCAAGUUAGAGGCCUGUUGUGUAAAAUAAUAUUUGCUCUCAUUAAAAAAUGCCAAUAAGAAAUAGAUGGUUACUGUGGCACUUUAAUAAAGGGAAUAGUAUCGUAUUUACAGUUUGUAUUAUUCUAACACACCCAGUAUAAAAUAAAUAGCAUUUAUAUCAUGGUUUAAGAAAAAAAAGCAGAAUAUAUUUGACAUAGGGCAUAAGAGAUACAUGACGCCUUCUUAUCACGGAAGCCCAACGCGUGCGUCAAGUUUGACGCUGACGAGGCAAGACAUCUACAAGUUCCGGACAGUCCAGAAAAGAUGGCGGGACAUCUUGUCUUGACAAGGAACAUCCUACUCGGAGCAACCCACGACCAAGAAGUGAACUCUCAGCACUCACAUUGCGCUGAGGUGGCAAAAUCCACAACUCUCUUUGCCCUGACAACAGUAAUUCCCAAAUCCUCCUGUCCAAUCCACAAACAGACAAUAAUCCUAAACAAUGCCCAAACACACCCUUCUUCUGCCCACAGCCCGCCCCGCGAGAGCCUUCAAAAGGACAAUGUUCAACUAAUCGCUGUCAUUUUUUUCUCUGGAACCUUUUGUUGACUUGUGAUAUGGUGACCUUGCAUCCUUGCCCGGGUUCCUCUGUGCUGUAUGAUUGCUGUCGACUCAGAAUAAAUUGUCAAUGUGUGUUUUGAAGCCUUUUUCCAGCUUUCAAAAUGGAGUCAGUACAAAGAAGUGGUCUCCAAACUAUUCCACAUAGGGCCGCAGUGGGUGCAGGAUUUCACUCAGACAAAACAACACCAAUCUGGUGCUUUGUUUAAGUUUAAUCAGUUGAUUGCUGUCAGGUGCUGCUUGUUUUAGUAGAAACCUCAUUGGUUAAAAGGUCUGUGCUUUAUC